UGAGGAAUAUUGGUCAAUGGACGCAAGUCUGAACCAGCCAUGCCGCGUGCAGGAUGACUGCUCUAUGAGUUGUAAACUGCUUUUGUAUGGGAAUAAUAGUCGUUACGUGUAAUGAUAUGAAUGUACCAUAAGAAUAAGGAUCGGCUAACUCCGUGCCAGCAGCCGCGGUAAUACGGAGGAUCCAAGCGUUAUCCGGAUUUAUUGGGUUUAAAGGGUGCGUAGGUUGCUGUAUAAGUUAGAGGUGAAAUCUAGGGGCUCAACCCCUCAACAGCCUCUGAUACUGUAUAGCUAGAGUGUAGAUGCAGAGGGCGGAAUGAGUAGUGUAGCGGUGAAAUGCUUAGAUAUUACUCAGAACACCGAUUGCGAAGGCAGCUUUCUAAUCUACAACUGACACUGAGGCACGAAAGCGUGGGGAGCAAACA
rnacentral:rRNA from 1 species